GACGAACGCUGGCGGCGUGCUUAACACAUGCAAGUCGUACGGUAAGGCCCUUUCGGGGGUACACGAGUGGCGAACGGGUGAGUAACACGUGAGUAACCUGCCCACAACUUUGGGAUAACGCUAGGAAACUGGUGCUAAUACUGGAUAUGUGCUCCUGCUGCAUGGUGGGGGUUGGAAAGCUCCGGCGGUUGUGGAUGGACUCGCGGCCUAUCAGCUUGUUGGUGGGGUAGUGGCCUACCAAGGCGGCGACGGGUAGCCGGCCUGAGAGGGUGACCGGCCACAUUGGGACUGAGAUACGGCCCAGACGCCUACGGGAGGCAGCAGUGGGGAAUAUUGCACAAUGGGCGCAAGCCUGAUGCAGCAACACCGCGUGCGGGAUGACGGCCUUCGGGUUGUAAACCGCUUUCAGCAGGGACGAAGCUUUUUGUGACGGUACCUGCAGAAGAAGCACCGGCUAACUACGUG
rnacentral:rRNA from 1 species